rnacentral:lncRNA from 1 species
CGGCACUGUUCGACGCUGCGGUCUCUGAAAUGGGACACAGCCUGAAUUUGAAGCGCGCUCAGGAUUUCGAGCCAAAUGGGACACCAUUCGCGCCGCAUGAUGACAUCACACACACUUCGAAUGCGCCGUUCGACGGUGCGGUCUCUGAAAUGAGACACAUGUGCUACGUCCGAAUUGCCAAGUAGUAGUCGAAGUAGUAGUCAAAGUAGUAUGUAGCAUGUCCGAAUUGGCCACCGGAGCGAGUAGCAUGCUACUUCAGAUACUACUUCAGAUACUAGACACGCUCACAUUGUAGUAUGGUCGCGGUGCAUCCUACGGGCAUGCUACUGACCCAAAAUGCACCGCGGGCUUCUUCGUCCUAUUAAAAGUUGUAGAAGCGCAUGUGAUGCUAGCGCCACCAGCUGCUGCCUAUUUAGAUGCGUCGCGAACGCCGGCUGGCCAUAGCAGCGCGCACCAUGGCGGAGCAGCAGCAGCAGCAGGCAGGACCGCAGCAGUACAGAUGUAAGUUUCAUGUAACUUCACACACUGUCCUAAAAAAAUAUGUGGUUGUAUCUCUUUGUCAUGUCAUGGUGUCAUAUUUGCCCAAGUAAUCAUUUUAUGAGCAAAUAUGUAGCAACAUCAUGGAGGUAAAGCUCACUUAUUCCAUCAUUAAACUGCACAGCUGCAGUAAUCAGGCAGAUCUCAUUGAACAAACGAUCACCACGUGAGUGAAUGAAGGCUAAAAGUAAUGCGAAAAUUCAGAGAGGUCAGACUCUGCAGCUUCCUCUUGGUUUGAGCACAGGUUCUAUAAUUUGACAAAGAUAUAGACAUGCCCUUCAUUGUUUCACCCCCAAAAUGACAUGCCCUUCAUUGUUUCACCCCCAAAAUACUGUUAGGUGCAACAUGUUAUCGAUUUUUAUCAAGUGGGACCUCAUUCCACAGACCAUUGCUCUGCUGAUUGUUUUGUGCACCUGUAGGCCUAUGUAAUGAAUGUAAUUGCUAAAAACUACUACUGUUUGAAUACUUCAACAAAAUUACUGUGGAUCUACCAUGAAAGGUUUGUCUCCUACCUCACAGACAGGACAUUUAUGGUAAGUGUGGAGACAUGCUCACUUAUGAAAAAAUCACAUGUGGUGUACCCCAGGGCUCAAUUUUAGGCCCUGUGCCUUUUAACCUGUACAUGCCCCCUCUUGGCUGUGUUACCAGGAGACGUGGAAUUAACUCAGUUAUGUGGAUGGUGCGCAACUCUAGAUCUCUGUGUCUCCUAGUUAUGUGGAUGGUGCGCAACUCUAGAUCUCUGUGUCUCCUGAUGACACCAGGAUAAUGGAUGCUCUUUUUAACUACAUUUUAGAUAUUAAAUCCUGGGUGGCCUAAAACUGUCUCCAGCUUAACCAGGACAAAACUGAGGUUUUAGUCAUCGGUCCGGAGGCCCAGAGAGAGAGAGAGAGACCUCCACCCACGCUACAAGCAUUGUCUUGUAAUUCAUCACCACAAGUGAAAAACCUUGGUGUCAUUUGUGACUCUGAGCUGACUUUUAUUCCACACAAUAGUAGGUUUUUAUCACCUAAAGAACAUCACCAGAGUCCGUCCCUUUCUUUCUCGGACCAACACAGAGACGCUAAUACAUGCUUUUAUCACCAGCUGUAUGUAACUACUGUAAUAACCUGCUUUCUGGUCUUCCUGAAAAGAAUAUCUCAGGUUUGCAAUUAUUACAAAACUCAGCAGCACGUGUCCUGACUAAGACCAGGAGGCGGGCCAACAUAACAAGGUUCUUUUGUUUUUAAAAGUCUUAAUGAUCUUGGGCCUUUUUAUCUUUCAGAACUACUGUUACCUUAUGAACCUAGAUAAAGCCUGCGCUUCCCUGGCAGCAGGCUCAGAAAGUCAGGACACACACUUAUGGCGAGGCGUCUUUCCACCAUUACGACCCUCGUCUAUGGGACAGCCUGCCAGAGGACCUCAGGGCCACAGAGAAUGUGAAUGUUUUUAAGAGCAGGCUCAAACCCAGCUCUAUUAUUUUAUCUCUAUUUAUUCUAGUCAGCUUAGGUUUCUUAUUUCCUAUUUAUUUGUAUGUAAUGUCACUGAGAUGGUCUGUGUUUUAUUCUUUUUUUAGUUAUUAAUUGUUUUUAUCCUUUUUUCAUUUGUAGGAUUCUCAUUGUUUUCUCUGAGGGAGCUGGAAGCAGUGGUCUGCUGUGGUUGCAGGGGCCUGUCAUUAAAAUGCUAGUUUUGCAAAUAAAAACAUGAUAUUUAAGCCUGAUGUAGACCAUAAACUACAUAGAUAUGACAAACUCAUAUGCUAAUAACAAAAAAGAAGGUAACAGUGAUGAUAUGUUAAGUAGCUGAUUUAAAAUCCCAAUUUCAUAAGAACUGGCAUUAAGCAUGGUGUAGAUUAAAUUUAAUUUGAUGGUUUGCAAAUAAUUUAGUUUUGCUUCAAUUCAAAAUAAUGCAAAGUCAAUGUAACAAUGCUGAAAGUAAAAACUAUAUUUGUUAAUUUUCCCUCUUUUGUAUUGUUUGUGUGUUUUUGUGCAUUUAAAUGAGCUGGGACAGGAAUAUGU